rnacentral:lncRNA from 1 species
GGAAUAAAGAUUUUGCUAUUAUCAUAGUUCUCCAUAAAGGACUUGAAAAAAGUAUCUCUCAUCCUAGGGAUGAAGAUCUAUAGAGAUAGAUCUAAGAGGCUGCUUGGAUUUUUUGAGUCCAACAUACAUAGGAUGUUUAUGAGUAGAAUUUAUUCUAUCAUGUACACCAUGUAUGAGAAUCGGAUAUGAUAUACUCAUUAAGAUAGUGAGUGGAUACUUACA